UUCCGCGUAGUUUUCCCGCGUCUUUCUAGUAAUGAAGUGAUAACGCGUGUAGUGUGUCGUAUUAUCUUUAAUAGAAACAUUCUUUGCAACAUUCUUUGAUAGAAACAUUCCUUGCAAAUUCCUUCAUAUUUUUUUUCUCGCUGGGGGGUACCUAACGAUACCUCAUAUUUGAUUGAACUAUAUACAUUAGUGAGGAUACGUAGCGCUUGCUUAGUGCGCAUGCGCGACUUUAUUCCCACGACAGCGCAUCACUGCUCAGACGUCAGACCACGAUAUACCGUGGCAUAUUUUAUGUAUUAUAUGUAAUACAAAAUCAUUAUUUAUAAAUAAUUUGAUGGAGAAUUAUUACGAAGAAGAGUUCUUCCAUCGUAAUAAGACAAUUAAUAAUAGAUGUUCACUCAGGGUCUUGUACCUUAAUACGGAACAAUUAUAUUUUAUAGUUUUAAUCGAUUCCCUUAUCAGGGAAUCUGUCAUUUUUCCAUGCUACACAACAUUGAUAAAAUAGAUAAAAUUUUUUGCAAUUGUGAUCAUUCAAUUGACUUGGAAAAAUACAUUCGCUGUUUUCUGGCUCUGGCUGGAUUUGAACUCGAGCCCUUCAGCACAGUUCUCUGCGCCACGAUCGCCACAAUUAGCACCAUAGUACGCGAUACUGAUACUAUAACUAAAAUUUUCUGCCAUUCUGAUCACUUAAUUGAUCUGGAAAUUAAAGGAUUUCAUUCAUGUGUGUUGGAUUGUUUACAGCCACCUAUAACGGUGGAGGAAUAUUACUUAUACGAUCCCGAAUGUCCAAUAAUAUAUGAAUGUAAUGUAGAAUUAUUGGGAGAAAAGGGAAGAUUAUUAGAUAAAUUCCAAUUUUAUGGUACCGAAAAAAAUGAAAAACAAUAGAAACAUGUAUCGCAUAUAUUUAAAAAUUAUGGACCAGGUUUAAGGAGAAUCAAUUAUACGCAUAACAAUUACUGCAUUUUCUCGAACAUGCGUGUACCGGUGCAAGGUUGCUGGGGCAUUUAUAUGUGCAACCAUUUGUUAAGAGAAGCAUUUACCAUUGCAAGGUUGCUGGGGCAUUUAUAUAUGCAACCAUUUUUUAAGGAUUUGUCCCUUGAUACAUCAAGAUUAGACAUAUGGGAGACAUAUGGGACCUAAUAACGGUUUAGUUCGUUGACAAACAACACAACGCGACCGCAAAUAUUCACUGAAUAUUAAAAAUGGCUUGUAAUAUAUCAACGCUUCCGCCCGAAAUUAUCGAAUAUAUCUUCCGCCACAUUCCGGACCAUCGGGGCUUGGUGAUUUGCCGAUUAGUGUGCAAAUUUUGAAACAGAGAAGCAGAAAGAUACCUAAGAAUAAUUUGGCGUAAGAAGGCGGAAAAAAUAUUUGAUGAAUCAUUUCCAAACCACGAUAUACCGUGGCAUAUUUUAUGUAUUAUAUGUAAUACAAAAUCGGUGGAGGAAUAUUAUUUGUAUGAUCCAGAUUAUCCAAUAAUAUAUGAAUGUCAUAUUGAAUUGUUAGGAGAAAAAGGAAAUUUGAUAGAUACAUUCCAUUUUUGUGGUACCAUAAAAGAUAAACAAUGGAUAUAUGUAUCGCAUACAUUUAAAAAUUAUGGACCUGGUCUAAGAAAAAUUAAUUAUACACACAACUAUUCGAUUCCUUUUUUUCGAACAGGCGUUUAUUACUGCAAAGUGGCUGGAGCAUAUAUAUGCAAACAAUUUUUAAGAGUUUUAUCAAAAUCGAAAUUCGAGAAGCAGCAAAAUUCAUUCGCCAAAUUGUUCCUGUGGCCUGGAAUAAAAUCACACUUUUUGACAUCCAACAGUCUUUCUGCCAACUCUGUCAUGACAGCUCCUAUAAACAAAAUUGUAUUCACUCUAAUAUUAAUAUAUAAACAAUAUGCAACAAAAAAUUGCAGAAAUAUAAUUGUAUGUAUACCUGUA